GGUUGCUCUCUGGCAGGGCUUUCUAUUUCUAACUCAUCAUCAUCCUCCACUGUGAAUUCCCUUUGUGCCGGUAUCGAGGUGUUUUUUGUUAUUGGGCUGAUAACUGAUUGUGCUUGUGACGGAUGGACGGGGUUUAGAAGUGAGGGUUGAAACUUGGAGGUUGUCGCCGGUUGUGGGGUUGUUGCUUUUUCUUGACUUUUCUUUGAUUUUUUACCGUCUUUCUGUGAGAAAUCCAUGCUGACUGUUCUACCGUUUCAAGGGAUAAGGUCCCCUCCUUCUAGCGCCAAUUGUUCCGGGUGUGGAAUGAGAACAGCUGACUGUGGGAUACUGGAUUCCUGUCGAGAUUGCCGGUUGAUAUCUGCACAACAGAAUGGAUUAACUAGCCUCGGGGGUGGUUCGAGGAUCCCCCCUCCGAUGCUUAAGUAAGAUUACUGAGAGAUUAAGAGAUGAUUAGGGAGUAAGAAAGAAGUGUGUUUAAGUGUUUGUGUACCUCAUAGCAAUAAAUGAGGUGCUCCUUAUAUAGACCAAUCCAAGGGUACGAUCUGGUAGGUCCCUUGUGGUUAGAUAGCGACCUGUUGAUAGUGACCCUUGGUUGGUUGUCUUCAUGAUAAUGCCGGUAGGUUGUCUUGCAAAUAGUGCUGGUAGAGGAUAUUUACCUAAGAUGACCAGAUUACCUGCAGGUUAAGUUUACAUACGGGGAGUUCUGCCGGUACCAGGUGGUGCCGGUAGGACACCCCGUACACUAGUUGUUGUUAAUAAAAAGUAUCAUUUGAUUUAUACUGUACAAUAUUGAUUUAUAAAUUAUGGUUGCUUGAAUUUGUACCACAAUGACCCAACUCAUGCACAAAAAGGACAAGUAUUUCGAAUUCUCAAUUCCCAUGGAAGUUGGAACUUGGAACUAUACAUUCCCCAUGGUAGUAAUGCGAGCAAGGAAGUUGCUUAGCUGCUUUACCACUUCCUCCUCAUAAACUUCGUCCUUACAUAUUGCUUGAUUUUUAUUGCUUGAUCGUUUCGACUCCCGAAUUUGUUCUUCCGAUAUAAUAUUGAAGAGGGUGGGUCGGGAAAAUACAGGGGUAGGAGAGAGAGAGCUGUGUUUAGAAGGGGAUCGAGAAGAAUGGGAAUUUGUGGAUUUAUCUCUAUUAUAUAUGCUAAGAGCUGAGGGGUUUUUUCGUAACAUCACUUUUCGUGUCCACCAUGUAAAAUACCAAAAUACCCUCAAACCUUUUACUUAACUCCGCCUCCGCCGCUUCACUCUCACUGUCUCACACAUCACACAUAUCUCUCUUUCUCUCUCCUAGGUCUUCGGCGUCCCUAACCCUUCCUGCUCCCUUCCGUUUUCUCUCUCCUUCCUCUUCAUCUUCUUCGAUCUUCUUCCUCUAAUCCUCUUCCACCAAACCCCAUCCUCCAUUCUAGACCCUAAAUAUUUCGUGUCUCUUUCACCGCACACGCAAACUCUCUCUCCUCCGCCUCUCGCCUUCUCCAUCGCCAUCACCAUCACCAUCAGCGUCUGAUCUUCUGGAGAUCCGGGUGAGAUUUCAACAAAUUGUUCGAAUUUUCAUUUUUUUUCAAUUGAUUCUGGAGAUUUUGCUGAUUUGAUGUGUUUUUUCCAAUUGUUUUUUCAAUUCUCAAUUCUUUCGAUUUUAAUUUUUAAAGAUUUGGGGACGAAAUCGAGUUCCAAAUCACGCUCUUUCUCUCUCUCAGGGAAAAAAAAAUUCGUCGAAGAUUUACCGAGUAUUGUAUGUAUCUCUUCUUUCUCUCUCCAAUUAUUCCAAUUAAUUGAAUUUAUUUCCAUUUGUGUUGAGAAAUAUAAUUGAUGAUUUGUUCUUUUUGUUUUUGUUAUAGAUGCAGCAAUAAAAGUCAGAUAUAAUACUACUAAGUGCAGUUGGACAAGUAUUUAAGCGCAAUUAAUUAUAUUGUUUAAUUUUGUUAUUACUGUUAUUUAUGAUUUAACUUGAGACUUGAGCCUGCAUCAGAAACUGAUUGGAGUUGAGCUUGAUUUAGUGAAAGUAUUUUAAGUUUUUGAAUUUGUUUUACUAAAAUAGGAAACAAGAGAGGGUGUGAAAGAGCCUAGACCAAAAGCUUAUAGAGAUCAGAAUCAUGGUGGCGAUUCGACGGUGCAGGGUUCAAGGACUAAGUGACGGCAAGGUGGAGUCUGGAUUAGAAAGAAGGGUUGGGUUCUCAAAAGGGACAUUCCAUGGGAGACAUACAUGACGACCAAGUUGAUCACUGGGACAACCCUUCAACUUUUAAGACGUUAUAACAAGAAACCUGAGAACUAGAGAGCUUUAUUGCUAGAUGAUGUAUUUUUUCAUCUUUGCUUCUUUCUCGAAGUAUAGGUUGUUGAAGAAUUUUAACUACAAUCUUUUUGUCAAAUGCAUCUAGUGACACAAAAUCUCUUUUAAUUUUGUUGUGAUCUGUCAUGGCCUACCCCGUUCCUAACUAUAUAAUUUCUAUUGAAUGUUUGUAUGAUUAUGUUCAGCAUAGAUUCAUAGAAGAGGGUUCAUUACUCUGUUUCACUAUGAUUACAUGCAUGAUUACUUUGUUUCACUAUUUACUUUGUGAAUAAUUUUUUAUCUAAUAUUUUAUUUAUAUUUAGUGGUAGUAAUACAAUGUUAAGUUUUUAUAUAAUCCCGCACGCAUCGCGUGCAUAUAAGACUAGUUGUUAAUAGGGGAGAGAGAAAUUGAUGGGUCAAAUAAAGUCUUGUUUAAUCAUGCUGGAAACUUCCUUAGAAGACGCCAUUAAAGUGAGGAGAAAAGCUUGAGUGUUGAGAGUAUGGUGGGAGGAGUAAAUAGGCAUUUUAUCUUUAUUUUUUUAAAAUGUUUAUAGGUAAAAGUAACUGAU